rnacentral:rRNA from 1 species
UACGGAGGGUGCAAACGUUGCUCGGAAUCAUUGGGCGUAAAGCGCGUGUAGGCGGUUUGUUAAGUCGGAUGUGAAAUCCCUGGGCUCAACCGAGGAAGUGCGUUCGAUACUGGCAGACUCGAGUACGGGAGAGGAUAGUGGAAUUCCCGGUGUAGAGGUGAAAUUCGUAGAUAUCGGGAGGAACACCAGUGGCGAAGGCGGCUAUCUGGACCGAUACUGACGCUGAGACGCGAAAGCGUGGGUAGCAAACAGG